rnacentral:tRNA from 1 species
GGAGAUAUAGCUCAGCACAAAGCACCUGCCUGGCAAGCAGGAGAUUGUGAGUUCAAGUCUCCGUACCA